AUGGCAGCCGUGCAAACUGGGGAAGUCGUCAAGGCGACAGCUCUCGCAAUCACAUCAGCACCCGAGGGCAUGAAGAGCGACGGCACCCAAGAGCUGCAGUCGCCGCCGGCCAACGUCUCCCUGGACCUGGAGGACGAUGAGGACGACGAGGAGGAGCUCUUGAUCCGCAGCUUGCAGUACGAUCUGUCGAUGCGGCUCAUCGUGGCGCACCAGAUCCAGACGCUCAAGCUGGACCUGAAGAAGGACAUCGACAUCUACAGGUCCCUCCUCCGCGAUCACGACGGCGAGUGCGACAGGCUGCGGCGCAGGCUGGCGGCCCGCCGGACGUCGACCAGAGAUAGAGAGUCGGACGACGCCGGUGUCGCCGAGGCCAAGGAGGAGGAGGAGGAGGAUGAUGAGGAGUUCAGAGUCGCCGAUGCCAAGGAGGAGGAGGAGGAGACCACCGCACUGAGGGAGUUCAGAGACAUGUACGCCAAAGCCAGCGAUGUGGACCGUCGCUUGGAAGAGUUCGACGAGAUCGUGCGGGUGCACUACGACCCCGACCUGGACAACGAGGCGCGCAGGGCCACCGUCGCGCGGCUGUGGCGCCGCCUGGCGAAGGAGCUCGACGACAGAGCCGAGACCGUCGUCUCUGGGGCAUUCAAGUACACGUUUGCACCUCUCAAGCCGAGGCACUAA
rnacentral:rRNA from 1 species